rnacentral:rRNA from 1 species
CGACACAAGUAUUAAAGGUCCUGCCUGCCCAGUGAAACAUUUUUUAACGGCCGCGGUAUUCUAACCGUGCAAAGGUAGCGUAAUCACUUGUCUUCUAAAUAAAGACCAGUAUGAAUGGCUAAAUGAGGAUAAACCUGUCUCCUACAGCCCAUCAGUGAAACUGAUCUUUCAGUCCAAAAGCUGGAAUAUUAACACAAGACGAGAAGACCCUGUGGAGCUUAAAACAAACCCACUAACAAGCGGCUCUCCCCGCACACCUGGUGGGGCUUUUAAGUUGGGGCGACUUCGGAACAAAAUAAAACUUCCAAGCACAGAACCACUCCUUCUAACUGAGGCAAACAGGCCAAAGCAAGCACAGAUCCAGUCACACUGACCAACGAACCAAGUUACCCCAGGGAUAACAGCGCUAUCUUCUUCAAGAGUCCAUAUCGACAAGAAGGUUUACGACCUCGAUGUUGGAUCAGGGCACCCAAAUGGUGCAGCCGCUAUUAAAGGUUCGUUUGUUCAACGAU